rnacentral:lncRNA from 1 species
AUACCAAAAAUGAUGCGGGAUGAAUGUGAGGGAUUUAAACAUAAGGAUUGUCAGUAAGUUAUGUUGAUUAACUAGCCUAAUAGCAGCAGAAAAUUCAGUCACAUAUGGGAUAAGAAAACAUUAACAUGAGCAUAGUAAUUUCAGGACUAGUUAUCCGCAUGUACUAAUUCAUUUAGGACUUAGAAGAAUGGACCGUUGUGGUUGAGAAACCACUUGAUUAGGACACUUCCUUCAAUAAAUCAGACCUAGAGUUGAGGUUUACCAAACAUUGAACUUUUGAAAUUUUUCUGGAGGAGAAUCCUUGAUCUCACUCUCGAAGGUUGAUGAUUGGAUGACCAAGCUUCAUCUUCCGUUGCAACAGGGCCCUUUUGCUAUUGGUGUGGAAGGAUAAUUGACCCAAUGACAUAGAGUACUUUAAGGACCUACAAAGAAACAAGGAUUAGAACUUUGGCGUGAGAGGAGAAUGGAAAUCACAAAAGAAAAGGGAGGCGAGAGGAGGUAAGGCAGUGGUGGAUGUGGUAGUGGCUUUAGGGCCUCACGCCCAACUUGGAACAAGGGCCUCACGCCCAACCUUCUCUCAAGGUGACAAAGCAAAAUUGCUAAGGAAGAAAGAAACUCUUUUUAUUCAUUCAUCAACUGCCCUUACAAGAUAUCAUGAGGAGGUAUUUAUAGACUUUCCUCAUGAUUUGAAAUUUAAACACAUAAUGAAUGGCGCUCCACAUUUGAAGGCUUGGUUGCUAGAGAAAAGGAAAGAAAGUUGGCCAGCUUUAAGGGGGAGGAUUUGAAAAGUUGUUGGCUCCCAUUUGAAAUUUUCUUGCAUUUAAAUUGUGGCCGACCUCUUGGACUUUGAAUUUGGGUGACGUGUCAACUUGUAUGAGGUGGCAUGGUGAUUGGUUCUUCUGAUGAGGUGGCAUGACGUUGCAUUGGUUUCUUUGAUGAGAUGACGUGGCCGGCU